AUCUUAGAUAUCUAAAUAGCCCAAUUUAGCAUAAGAUUAGCUCAGGCCUAGCCGAGUCGAAGUUUAGCUGGGCCUAAUUGAACCCUAAAACCCCACUAUCCCAUAUAUAUAUCCCUCUAAUCUGAAAUACUUUUUUUCUCAAAUAACCUUUUAUAUCUCAAAUAACCCUUAAUCUCAAACAACCCUUAAUCUCAAAUACCUUAAUCUUAAAUACCCUUUAUUCUUAAAUAACCCUUAAUCUCAAAUGCCCUUUUAAUCUCAAAUGCCCCCUAAUUUCAAAUGCCCUUUUAAUCUCAAAUGCCCCCUAAUUUCAAAUGCCCUUUUAAUCUCAAAUGCCCCCUAAUUUCAAAUGCCCUUUUAAUCUCAAAUGCCCCCUAAAAUGCCCUUUUAAUCUCAAAUGCCCCCUAAUUUCAAAUGCCCCUUUAAUCUCAACUGCCCCUUUAUUCUCAAAUGCCCUUUUAAUCUCAAAUGCCCCUAAUCUCAAAUGCCCCUAU
rnacentral:lncRNA from 1 species